CAGCUAUAGACUAAAUUUUGAUCUAGGCAAGAAGAACAAAAUCCAUCACCACAGCUAUAGACUAAAUUUUGAUCUAGGCAAGAAGAACAAAAUCCAUCACCACAGCUAUAGACUAAAUUUUGAUCUAGGCAAGAAGAAUAAAAUCCAUCACCACAGCUAUAGACUAAAUUUUGAUCUAGGCAAGAAGAACAAAAUCCAUCACCACAGCUAUAGACUAAAUUUUGAUCUAGGCAAGAAGAAUAAAAUCCAUCACCACAGCUAUAGACUAAAUUUUGAUCUGGGCAAGAAGAACAAAAUCCAUCACCACAGCUAUAGACUAAAUUUUGAUCUAGGCAAGAAGAACAAAAUCCAUCACCACAGCUAUAGACUAAAUUUUGAUCUAGGCAAGAAGAACAAAAUCCAUCACCACAGCUAUAGACUAAAUUUUGAUCUAGGCAAGAAGAACAAAAUCCAUCACCACAGCUAUAGACUAAAUUUUGAUCUGGGCAAGAAGAACAAAAUCCAUCACCACAGCUAUAGACUAAAUUUUGAUCUAGGCAAGAAGAACAAAAUCCAUCACCACAGCUAUAGACUAAAUUUUGAUCUAGGCAAGAAGAACAAAAUCCAUCACCACAGCUAUAGACUAAAUUUUGAUCUAGGCAAGAAGAACAAAAUCCAUCACCACAGCUAUAAACUAAAUUUUGAUCUAGGCAAGAAGAACAAAAUCCAUCACCACAGCUAUAGACUAAAUUUUGAUCUAGGCAAGAAGAACAAAAUCCAUCACCACAGCUAUAGACUAAAUUUUGAUCUGGGCAAGAAGAACAAAAUCCAUCACCACAGCUAUAGACUAAAUUUUGAUCUGGGCAAGAAGAACAAAAUCCAUCACCACAGCUAUAGACUAAAUUUUGAUCUGGGCAAGAAGAACAAAAUCCAUCACCACAGCUAUAGACUAAAUUUUGAUCUAGGCAAGAAGAACAAAAUCCAUCACCACAGCUAUAGACUAAAUUUUGAUCUAGGCAAGAAGAACAAAAUCCAUCACCACAGCUAUAGACUAAAUUUUGAUCUAGGCAAGAAGAACAAAAUCCAUCACCACAGCUAUAGACUAAAUUUUGAUCUGGGCAAGAAGAACAAAAUCCAUCACCACAGCUAUAGACUAAAUUUUGAUCUAGGCAAGAAGAACAAAAUCCAUCACCACAGCUAUAGACUAAAUUUUGAUCUAGGCAAGAAGAACAAAAUCCAUCACCACAGCUAUAGACUAAAUUUUGAUCUAGGCAAGAAGAACAAAAUCCAUCACCACAGCUAUAGACUAAAUUUUGAUCUAGG